AUUGAACGCUGGCGGCAGGCCUAACACAUGCAAGUCGAGCGGCAGCGGAAAGUAGCUUGCUACUUUGCCGGCGAGCGGCGGACGGGUGAGUAAUGUCUGGGAAACUGCCUGAUGGAGGGGGAUAACUACUGGAAACGGUAGCUAAUACCGCAUAACGUCGCAAGACCAAAGAGGGGGACCUUCGGGCCUCUUGCCAUCAGAUGUGCCCAGAUGGGAUUAGCUAGUAGGUGGGGUAACGGCUCACCUAGGCGACGAUCCCUAGCUGGUCUGAGAGGAUGACCAGCCACACUGGAACUGAGACACGGUCCAGACUCCUACGGGAGGCAGCAGUGGGGAAUAUUGCACAAUGGGCGCAAGCCUGAUGCAGCCAUGCCGCGUGCAUGAAGAAGGCCUUCGGGUUGUAAAGUACUUUCAGCGGGGAGGAAGGUGUUGAGGUUAAUAACCUCAGCAAUUGACGUUACCCGCAGAAGAAGCACCGGCUAACUCCGUG
rnacentral:rRNA from 1 species